UCUUGAUUGGUCUAGUGGUCAGGAUACCUGCUUGUCACUGGUCCCGUUCUCUCUCUCCUUAUAUCAAGGAAAGAACGAAAACAAGCUGCUCGCAGGUGGCCGGGGUUCGAUUCCCCGAUCGAGAG